rnacentral:tRNA from 1 species
GGGGGCGUAGCUCAGUUGGUUAGAGCGCCGGCCUGUCACGUCGGAGGUCGCGGGUUCGAGCCCCGUCGCUCCCGCCA